rnacentral:rRNA from 1 species
UAUCCUACGGGAGGCAGCAGUAGGGAAUCUUCCACAAUGGACGAAAGUCUGAUGGAGCAACGCCGCGUGAGUGAAGAAGGGUUUCGGCUCGUAAAGCUCUGUUGGUAGUGAAGAAAGAUAGAGGUAGUAACUGGCCUUUAUUUGACGGUAAUUACUUAGAAAGUCACGGCUAACUACGUGCCAGCAGCCGCGGUAAUACGUAUUGGGCAAGCGUUAUCCGGAUUUACUGGGGGUAAAGGGGGCGUAGGCGGCCUGGCAAGCC